rnacentral:rRNA from 1 species
UACAGAGGUGGCAAGCGUUGUUCGGAAUUACUGGGCGUAAAGGGCGCGUAGGCGGCCUUGUCAGUCAGACGUGAAACCCUCAGGCUCAACCUGGGGACGCCACUCGAUACUGCUGUGGCUAGAGUCCAGUAGAGGAGUGUGGAAUUCCCGGUGUAGCGGUGAAAUGCGCAGAUAUCGGGAGGAACACCAACGGCGAAGGCAGCACUCUGGGCUGGUACUGACGCUGAGGAGCGAAAGCGUGGGUAGCAAACAGG